rnacentral:lncRNA from 1 species
CCAUUUUCUUGUAUCUUCUUUAUUUUAUUUUUUUAAAGACUGGAAGUUCUUGUCAUAAAGGUCUUUCACAUGUUUGGUUAGAGUUACUCCCAGGAUAUUUCAUGUUGUUUGUGGCUAUUGUAAAGGGUGAUGCUUCUCUUAUUUCUUUCUCAGCCCAUUUAUCAUCUGUAUAUAGUAGGGCUACUGAAUUUUUAAUUAGUCAUGUGUCCUGCCUGCUACUUUGCUGAAUAUCCCAGCACUUCCUAUAAUACUCUUUUAAUCCUAGCACUUGGGCAGUGGAGACAGGACUGAUAUGACUACAUGGAGAAAGCAAUAUAAGGAGGAGGAGACAGGAACUCAGAGCAUUUUGCCUCUGAGCAUUCAUGGAGAUAGGAUCAGCCAUUUCUUAUGAAGUAGAGGUAAAAUCUAGUAGCUGGAUGCUUUGCAUUUAUGAUCUUCAGCUUGAAUCAAUAUCAGCCUCUGGGUCUUUUAUUGUUAUUGUUACACACCUGCUUGAAAGGAAAAUAUAUAAUGGAAGUAUAUUCCCUAAUGUCUUUAGGCAAUUGGAAGCCUGUGUUGUCUCCCACUAUGCUAACAACUGUUCUUUUCACAAGCUGACAUAAAAUAAUAAAAUAUCUUAUAUUCAAAGAAGAAAAGGAGAAGCAAAUUUCAUUUGAAGGCAAAAGAAAUUUUAUUGCAUGUUUUCUUCCCGAUAAGGAGGGGAGAGAGAAAGCUGUAGCCUCUUAUUAUUCAAUUGGAAUAAUUAAUGAUUUUUAUAGUAUUAAAAUAUGUCCUUAUAAGAAUAUGUUUUAUUAUUUCCAUGUUGAGACUAUACAAAUAUGAAUUCACAAAAACAUUGAUCUACUUUUAGAAAUUGAAUACCAGCAGUUUCUAUUCCAAUAAAGGAUGUAGUUUUUCACCAUAAUUUCUUUGCUGUUCUGUAUGUCGUGUUUGACUUCAUUUCUGGUUCCUAUGUCCUGUGCUUCCUUCAAUAAUAGUCUAGGCUCAAUGCAGGUGAGCCUCCCUGAUAUUUAAAGAGGAAGCAUUUGAGCACAUGAAUUUUGCAUUCAGAAUUGCCUUUUCCAGCUUGAGAUUCCUAAUCCCAAUACCUUUAAGCAUUAAAAUAUUUAUUUAGAAAAUCAUAACAAUUCUAUUAAAGGUGUUCACUGUGACAAGAGUAGUAACCGAGACAGAAAGAGAAGAAAUAUACCUAAUUUGUCUCAGGAGCGAGUUCAAAGUUAUAGACAAGAGGGUUGCAAAGAAGAUAUCAGUAAUUCAUUAAAUAUUAGCACAAAUAAUGUGAAUCUAAAAUAUUCAAUGAAAUAAUGGAAAAUGUGUGUGAAAGAAGAGUCCUCACCCAACAAAGACUCCAAUUUGUAAACCUACGACCUCACUUGACACAAGUAAGUCUAUCCUGGAAAUGCAACAGAAGGCAUUCUGUUCAAAACGAAAUCCCCUAGGUUCAGAUACUAAGGUGCACAGAGGACACUACAGAACUGACAGAAUGAGACAGAGUUCAUCUCCAGCUGGCAGUAUACAGUGCACCAUUUAAGAGAAUGAUUUUCAAGUUUGUGAAAUGUAAAAUUUUUAAAAUCACGAAGACUUCUAUCAAGGUUCUAGGAAUUUACAGAGGACACAUAAUGCAUUCCAAGAAUGAAAAAUUACAAUGGAUUCUUCAUGAUCUAAUAAGGCAAAGAAAAUAUUGGGGAAUAUCUUUUUCAUUUCAAGAUGAUGUCAAUUUACUUGAAUUUACUGUAUUGCUAAUGUAGAGUAAAAAUAUAUGAAGAAAAGACAUUACCUAUAUAAGCCAACUUCUUUUCUGUAUCAGCAUGUAGAUUUGGAUAUAAUGUUACUCAUCUAAUAAUAAGGCUCAUUGGGUAAAGCAGCUGUUGUUGAGUCUGAUGUUUUGAGUUCUAUCCCCAAAAGCUAAAUAGGGAGAAAUGAGAACCAACUUCUACAAGUUGUCAUCUGAAUUUCACAUUGUAUUUUGGCAGGUAUGCACACACACACACAAGGAAAUAAAAUAUAGUUUCAUUUUCCUUUAGUUUCCAUUUCCUUUCCUUUACAUUUUCUUUUUCUUUAGAUUUCACCUUACUGGUAAUGAACAUUUCUGAUAAUCACUGUAUCACAAACUAGCUAUAAUCUAGAAUCAAUCUAGAGAUCAGUAUUAUUUCUGUUCCUUAUUAUCAUAUCUAUACUACACAAAACACUCUGAACAAAUAAAAUACAUUACUGAAACUAGUGAGCAUGGUAAUCCAGGAAUUUUAAUACAUUUAUAUAACUGAUACAACAGAAUUUAUAUCCAAAAUUUGUAAGACCUAUUAUAUUGAUUUCUACUUUUAAAAUACCAUUUAACUUUUCAAUGUGAAUGAUCUCCUUCAAAAGAAAUCUAAACAAUAUCUAAGAAAUGGACAUUUGUAAUUCUAAUCACUUCCCUUUAAUGUGAUAUAUGAAGCAUAAAUGAAAAGAAGACUAUUGUACUACCAUGAGUAACCUUGAACUAUCAUUCUUAAUAAUGAAUUAUUCUUAGAGUAAUGAUAAGAUCAAAAUAAUACAGUGUCCUUUGCAAUGAUACAUAUGAUCAGGCUAAUUAUACUAUAUUUGUUCUAAUUAGAAAAUAAAUUAUACUAUGACAGGAAUUAAAAUAUUAAAGAACAAAAGAACAUUAAAGUCUUGCUAGAAAAAAAUGCCCUCAGAGGAAGGAAUGAAUUAUUAGAUUAUGAUAUUUUGACAACAUUUGCCUGCAUUCAAUUUUAUCUGAUUUAUGAUGAUCACCAAACAGACCUGUACUACUUAAUAAAGCCAAUUAAGAAUAUAAGUAUGGUUUGAAUAAGUGUCUGAAAGAAAGAUGCAACAUUUCAGAAAAUGGUCAAUUUAAAAGUAACUCAAGUAAAUUCCUUUACUUUAUUUGCCACUUCACAGGAUCAGAAGUGGCCAAAUAUAUAAUUAGUGAUUAAAAGGACAACUGCCCACUUAAACAUGAAGAAUAAGGAAAGGAAGAGAGAAAGACAGAAGGAAGGAAAGAAGAAAGGAAGAGAAGUAAGCAAGAAUAAAAAUUAUUUUUAUUUAUUAUUGUUUCUUUGAGAGAAUCCUGAAGCUGGCCCUGAUCUCAUUCAGUCUAAGCUACCCUUGAACUCAAAAUCUUCUUACAAAUGUCUCUAGAUAUUUUGGAUUAAAUUUGUGUGAUACUACUCCCAACACCAAAAAUGACUUUAAUUGAUGGAGUGGUACUUCAGUGGUAGGGAUUUUGCCAACAUGUAAAAAUCCCAAAGUUUGAUAUUUAGCACUAUAAAGUAAGUAGAAAUAAAUAUAUUUGUGUCUAAUAAAGUUAUUUUAAUGCUGUUACCAUAGCCAUAUUCUAAUGGUUUCUUAUAGCAUAGUAAUCAUAAUAACCUUAAAAAACUCAUCAAUGCUAUAUAUAUAUAGCAUUGAUACUUUCAAGAAUAAUUCAUAUAAUCUGUUAAUUAGCAACAUUUUGCAACUACAAUGUAUUACAUGCUUUAUUAUACCUACAAUUUAUAACAUCUGUUUUAGGGCUAUUAUUGCCAGUGUUGGAGAUAUAUUAAUAGACAGUAAGAAAUAAAAUGUAUUAAACUUCCUAAAUAAAUUAUGUGCUAAAUUCUUGUACAAGAACUCUUGAAGGUGUACUCCAUUCCAAAGAAAGUAUAUAAAGACAACUACUUUUGCAACAUAGGUGUGUAAAUCAACUCAGUUAUUUGUUAAGAAAGAAAAAUAACUUUAUCCUCUAAAAUCUUACACUUUUUCUUGUUUUAUUUGUAUAGAGUAAUGUGAUUACUGCAUUUAUUUUAUUUUGCUUCAAUUUUCAUAUAACCACAAAAAUAUCAUUAGUUCAAUAUAAAUGAAAAAUCAUCUUGUAGUCUGGGAGGAGACUAUACAAAACACCAUAAAAUGGAUAGCUGAUUAGAAAAGAAAAACAAAACCCACUGCUUUGCUUCACACAGUUUUAGGAGUACAAGUGCAAAUAUUAGCAGAUUUGGAGACAGGUGGGUACCUCAUUUCUUCCUUAUAGACACUGCCUCUGGCUCUAUCUCUACAUGGGGAAGGGGCAAGCAUUUUCUCUAAAGCCACUCAAAUAAAGUCAUUCCUACUCCAGAGAGCUCAGUUCUCAGGAAGUAGUCAUUUAUCAAAGCCUCUUGCUCUCAAUGUAGUAUUUUUGGAAUAAGAAUAUCUGCCUAGAAAUUUUAUGGAAAUUAAGAAAACAACAGAGGAAGUUUCAUAGUGAGUACUUCCCUGCUCAAGUGGCAUAAUAGUCCAUUAUAAUAGAUUGCACAUGACAUGUAUGUAAUGAAUAUAAAAAAACACAUGUAUCAGUUAAAUUCUGUACAAAGAUAUGCACAAUUUUUCUCUUUUCAAAUCAUAUUAAAAACUUCUGUAACAUCUUCAACUGGACUAAUGUUGAGUGAUAAUAUUUGCAAUGUUUAUCUUAUCAUUGAUAUUUUCUAAUAGUUAAAAAAUUUAAAUUAUUAUGUAUUAGUAGGAG